rnacentral:rRNA from 1 species
GAUGAACGCUGACAGAAUGCUUAACCCAUGCAAGUCUUUGGCGAAGCUGUGCUUGCACAGCCUAGCCAAGGCGGACGGGUGAGUAACGCGUAAGGAACUUGCCCUGCAGUCAGGGAUAACAGACGGAAACGACUGAUAAGACCUGGUAAAGUCAGGCGGACUCAUGUCCAGCCUGAUGAAAAGAGAUGCUGCAGGAGAGCCUUGCGUCCUAUUAGCUUGUUGGUGGGGUAACGGCCCACCAAGGCGAUGAUAGGUAGCCGGCCUGAGAGGGUGGACGGCCACAAGGGGACUGAGAUACGGCCCUUACUCCUACGGGAGGCAGCAGUGGGGAAUAUUGGACAAUGGGGGCAACCCUGAUCCAGCAAUUCUGUGUGCACGAUGAAGGUUUUCGGAUUGUAAAGUGCUUUCAGCAGGGAAGAAAAAAUGACGGUACCUGCAGAAGAAGCGACGGCUAAAUACGUG